CAAUAGCGUAUAUUAAAGUUGUUGCGGUAAAAAAGCUCGUAGUUGGAUUUCUACCGAAGAUAGCCGGUCGGGUCUUCGACCUUGUAUCUGGUUUUGUCUUUGGUAUCCUCAUAGGGAACGGUUCUGCGCUUUAUUGCGUGGUGCGGUAUCUAUGACUUUUACUUUGAGGAAAUUAGAGUGUUCACGGCAGGCAAACGCCUUGAAUAUAUUAGCAUGGAAUAAUAACAUAGGAUCUUCGUCCUAUUUUGUUGGUUUCUAGGGCUAAGAUAAUGAUUAAUAGGGAUAAUUGGGGGCAUCUGUAUCAACGCGUCAGAGGUGGAAUUCUUGGAUUGCGUUGCGACAAACUACUGCGAAAGCAUUUGCCAAGGAUGUUUUCAUUGA
rnacentral:rRNA from 1 species